AGUGAACGCUGGCGGUAUGCCUAACACAUGCAAGUCGAACGGCAGCACAGUAAGAGCUUGCUCUUACGGGUGGCGAGUGGCGGACGGGUGAGGAAUACAUCGGAAUCUACUUUUUCGUGGGGGAUAACGUAGGGAAACUUACGCUAAUACCGCAUACGACCUACGGGUGAAAGCAGGGGAUCUUCGGACCUUGCGCGACUGAAUGAGCCGAUGUCGGAUUAGCUAGUUGGCGGGGUAAAGGCCCACCAAGGCGACGAUCCGUAGCUGGUCUGAGAGGAUGAUCAGCCACACUGGAACUGAGACACGGUCCAGACUCCUACGGGAGGCAGCAGUGGGGAAUAUUGGACAAAGGGCGCAAGCCUGAUCCAGCCAUACCGCGUGGGUGAAGAAGGCCUUCGGGUUGUAAAGCCCUUUUGUUGGGAAAGAAAAGCAGCAGGUUAAUACCCCGCUGUUCUGACGGUACCCAAAGAAUAAGCACCGGCUAACUUCGUG
rnacentral:rRNA from 1 species